rnacentral:lncRNA from 1 species
AUGCCCUGGCACAUGAGGACCCAGAAGCUACAGGAAAGGUGCCUGAGGAAGCAGCAGGCUGGGUGGGGACCCCCAUGGAACUGGAUCGAAGACUGGAGGCUGUGUGACCAGAACCUGCUCAAGGAAGAUGUCAGGAGCAUCUCUGAGUUAGCCUCCAGGGCAACAAAUUAUACUCAGCCCACCUACUCAGGACACACUGACCUGGCUGGUGCGGAGAAGUUCUGCCCCUUGCCCCUGCACCCAAGGAUGGAUAUAAAGACAGGUAGAUUCUUUACCAUCAAGCCACCUGGGAAGCCCCUGCUUGCUACACUACCAUCUAAAUGGAAUGACUUUCUUCCCUGUAGCCCAGAAAAUAAGCCUUCCUUCUCUCAUUCUGUGGUGGAGAGAUUGGGCUAAAAGGUAUUCUUUCAGUUGUCAUUUCUAAAUAAAUGUCAUGCACUCAGCUCUCCA